rnacentral:lncRNA from 1 species
AUCCUCCAAAAAGUCGCUUUUGUUCCUGGUUUAUGUAUUAUGCACGUUCCGCGCUGCGUGCUCUGGGGACUUCGGAGACCCCAGACCCUGCUCUGGAUCACACUGUCCGGGGGGCAGAUCGUCCAGACCACCGCGACAGCACAAUCCGACAACACAGAGCAGAUCAGUAAAUCACCAUCAUGCUCCCUCCAGCUUUCCAUCGGAACAUCACGCAACGCUUCUGUCCCAGCGCACGCGGUCUGGAGACCAGACAAGGGAAACGGUCCAGACGCCUCAAAGACCAGAUCAUGUUAUGAACGACACCAGAGAAUGUAAAGGAAUUGAGUGCCGUCUGCCUCUGAGGAUACGACCGAACCCCAGACCGAGACCCUGUGCUGGAGACGGGUGCGUGCUCGGGACCAGCCAGCCUCCCCUCAUCCAUAUGGCAGACAGAGCCGCUCAGUUUCUGGGGGAAUUUCCGGACAUUGGAUACCCCGCAUCAGAGAGUGGGGCUCCUCUGGGAGUUCAGCUCACUUGUGACAUCAAACCAGGAGAUAAUGAGGUCCCUGCCGAGGAUGCACUGAUCCUGCAUCUACAGCUGGCAAAGGGACAAGAGAAGCUCGUGGAGGCUUUGAGAGCUCAACAAGUAGUGAUCCGUGAUCUGCAGCAGAGACUGGGGGAACAGCAGGGGGCCCUCCUCUCCCAGCAGCGUGAAAUACUCGACCAGCAACGCCGCAUGUAUGAGCAAAUGGAUGUGGUGAAGGCUCAGUACGGUCUGCUUUCUGAGACCGUCAAGCAAUUCUCAUUCCAAGGCUUGCAGGGAGAAGUGCAAAGCUAUUUUGAAAGCCAUCUGGCUGGCCUGCAGAGCCAAGCACGUACCCACCUGCAAAAGUCCUAUGCUGUGCAUAAGGUAGAUGUGGAUGCCAAAGUGGUGAAUGUAGUUGGAGAUGCAGGGCACCCAGUGUUGGGCUGUCAAAUUGCUUGUGGGCCUGAAGAAUACUGCGACUUCCAGAAGGAUCCACCGCAGUGUGAAAGGUGCACUAUGUGUCCCCCUGGAUUCUUCCUGGUGUCACAGUGCUCCCCCAAUGCUGAUAGGAUGUGCCAGGU